rnacentral:rRNA from 1 species
GAUGAACGCUGGCGGCGUGCUUAACACAUGCAAGUCGAACGAGAAGUGGAAACGUAACCCUUCUGUCGGAGGCCUUUACUUCGAGUGGCCGACGGGUGAGUCACGCGUGGGUAACCUGCCUCAUACAGGGGGAUAACAGUACGACACGACUGUUAAUACCGCAUAAGACUACAGUACCGCAUUGUGCCGGUGUAAAAACUCCGGGGGGACUAGAUGGAUCCGCGUUGGAUUAGCCAGUUGGCGGGGUUAUGGCUCACGAAGGCGAGAAUCGAUAUCCGGGCUGAGAGGAGGACCGGCGACAUUGGGACUGAGACACGGCCCAAACUCCUAGGGGAGGCAGCAGAGGGUGAUCUAGCACAAUGGGGGAGAUGCAGAUGCGGCGAGGCCGCGUGAGUGAAGAAGGAUUUGGGUAUGUAAAGCUCUAUCAGCAAGGAAUAUUAUGACGUUACCUGAAGAAGAAGCACCGGCUAACUACGUG